rnacentral:rRNA from 1 species
CUUGUUGGUGAGGUAAUGGCUCACCAAGGCGUCGACGGGUAGCCGGCCUGAGAGGGUGACCGGCCACACUGGGACUGAGACACGGCCCAGACUCCUACGGGAGGCAGCAGUGGGGAAUAUUGCACAAUGGGCGAAAGCCUGAUGCAGCAACGCCGCGUGAGGGACGACGGCCUUCGGGUUGUAAACCUCUUUUAGCAAGGAAGAAGCGAAAGUGACGGUACUUGCAGAAAAAGCGCCGGCUAACUACGUGCCAGCAGCCGCGGUAAUACGUAGGGCGCAAGCGUUAUCCGGAAUUAUUGGGCGUAAAGAGCUCGUAGGCGGUUUGUCGCGUCUGCUGUGAAAACCCGAGGCUCAACCUCGGGCCUGCAGUGGGCACGGGCAGACUAGAGUGCGGUAGGGGAGAUUGGAACUCCUGGUGUAGCGGUGGAAUGCGCAGAUAUCAGGAAGAACACCGAUGGCGAAGGCAGAUCUCUGGGCCGUAACUGACGCUGAGGAGCGAAAGGGUGGGGAGCAAACAGGCUUAGAUACCCUGGUAGUCCACCCCGUAAACGUUGGGAACUAGUUGUGGGGUCCAUUCCACGGAUUCCGUGACGCAGCUAACGCAUUAAGUUCCCCGCCUGGGGAGUACGGUCGCAAGGCUAAAACUCAAA